rnacentral:lncRNA from 1 species
CCGGGCUCAAGUGCUCCUCCCAUCUCAGCCUCCUGAGUAGCUGGGACUACAGGCACAGGCCACCAUACCCAGCUUAUUUUUUAUAUUUUUAUUUUUAGUAGAGAUGAGGUCUUGCUAUGUUGUCCAGGCUGCUCUCGAGUUCCUGGCCUCAAGCAGUCCUCCCACUUCGGCUUCCCAAAGUGCUGGUAUUACAGGCAUGAGCCACUGUGCCUGGCCAAGGAUACUUCUCAUUUGACUAAAUACUCCCUUCCCUUCCACCGGAGGGUUUAUACCAUUUUCCUUAUCUUUAGCAAAGUUGGUAAGACCAACGAGUAUCAUCAUUUUGCAAAUGAGUAAAUGGACCUUAAAAUACUAAAGGAACAAAAAGCAAAAAACACAAUUCAUUUAAAAUAAUAGAAUAAGCCAGUGAUAGAGGGGAAAAAUCCAGUACAAUAAGCAGAUUAAUUAAGUAAAAGAUCUAGUAUUUUCUCUUUCAAUCUAUUGUAAUUAGUUUAUUCUUGGCAGUAUUGUGCAGUGAUCUUUUAGCUGCCUCUGUAUCUCCGUCUGGAAUGAGGUUCGGGCCAUGCUGCGCAUGUUUAUGUUCCAAGUUUAUGUUUUAUCUUUAAAACUCUGACUUUAUUUGGCUACGUGCCUGUUACUGGGUAUAGCCUAUAUUUUUAGUUUAUUCCCAAAUGCCCACAAUAUUAGAAUUACCACUUCUUGUGUGUGCAUCCACAGCAUAUCUUAUCUGUUAUUAUGCUGAGAGUGGGGUAGAUUAAAGCAAAGCAAAAUUCUAGACUGAAAACAGUGUCAAUUGAGUGCUUGAGCCAUGUUUUUUCGUUCUCUUAUGGUAGAGAAGUUUAGGAUGAGCAUUAUUUCUCAGAAGAGUUAUUUCUUUAUCUAGGAGAAGAAAUACCACUUGCAGGAGAGGGUUGACAAAGUAAAGAAGAAAGUGAAAGAUGUGGAGGAAAAAAGCAUUGACCUCAUUCAGAAGUGGGAGGAGAAGUCCCGAGAAUUCAUUGGAAGUUUUCUGGAAAUGUUU